AUCGGUGAGCACGGACACUGGACUCUUGCUGUAAGUGGACAGGCAUAUACAUUUGGUUUAGCUUAAAUUUUACAAUUAUGUUUGAUUAUUUGUUUUAGGCAAUGUAUCCAUCACAAAAAAAAACAAUUUUUCUGAAUUCACUUGGAGAAUCAAAGGAAAAGGUCACCCGAUGCCUUGACACAACAAGGGCCUUUAUGAGGAGAAAAGGCUGCAAUGUGUCACGGUGGACGUGUGGGACUCUUCCACACUCACUUCAGAGAGACAGUAGUUCAUGUGGGGUGUUUGUGUGCAAGUUUGCAGAAAGACUUUUGGAAAACCAGUGUCUUUGGUUUUCCAAUGAAACUGAUGUCAUAAACCGCUUCCGAAAAGAAAUGGCCGUAUGGCUUCUGGAGGAAUCAGGUGAAUACAGCCAUGUUUAUAUACACUGGUAGAAGUUUGAA